GCAUGGCUGAAUUCUGUUCCACCUUGUCUCUGGUGGACACAGUCAGACACCAUGCAAAAGCCUCUUCACUUCUACUUGAGACUGGAUUAAUGCUGCUCUGUGCCUAAUCCGCCACUGUAGGAAUGAGUACAACU
ensembl:snoRNA small nucleolar RNA SNORA15